GGGGGUGUAGCUCAGUGGUAGAGCAUUUGACUGCAGAUCAACAGGUUCCCCAGUUUGAAUCUAGGUACCCCCU